rnacentral:piRNA from 1 species
UCUCACAAUGGCUUGGGUCCAGACUGCG